CGGGUGCGUAACACGUAUGUAACCUACCUUUGUCAGGGGGAUAGCCUCUCGAAAGAGAGAUUAAGACCGCAUAACAUUAUUGAAUAGCAUUAUUUAAUAAUCAAAUAUUUAUAGGACGAAGAUGGGCAUGCGGAACAUUAGCUAGUUGGUAAGGUAACGGCUUACCAAGGCUACGAUGUUUAGGGGAUCUGAGAGGAUGGCCCCCCACACUGGUACUGAGACACGGACCAG
rnacentral:rRNA from 1 species